GGCAGGUGGAAGAGAGUUACAGAGCAGCAACAAUGUUGGAACAGGAGCCAGAAGGUUCAGGAGCCAGAUGUUCAUCUCGUACUCCGAAAGUAAACCAGAAUUCCCCAUUCCCUCUGCUGCCCCCGCUGGAGGCAGGGGAAGGGACUAUAAAACCAGGAAAUGGUGUGCCUCAAUCAGUCUCUGCAAGUGGUGUGCCUCAAUAAGUCUCUGCACGUGGUGUGCCUCAAUCAGAGCUUUGAACGACACUGACAAAUGUCUACAGCAUUCACACAUCACCCAUCUUCUCCAGCAAUGCAAUUUGCUAACAAUCCUUCAGAUUGGAUUGAAAGCAAGUUUAGAUUCCAGAGACAAUUCAGAGUAAAUAUUUGCCCUCUUCUGCUUGUGCAGAGUGAGGAUAUCGACUGGCCAAAUAAAAAAAAUGUGCUCUGGAAGAGCCUUACAGACAUUUGGGACAGUCUGUUGCAGUGGUUGUGAGGCAAUACUCACUGCAACUUUCCACUUAGCGAGCAGCUGAGGACCAGAGGAAUGAAGAGGAGGCAGAGGAGUGAAGAGGAGUGAAGAGGUGGAUGUGACGGGAAGGAAGAGGCAACUUCAUAGAUAGCCCUCAUCAUGCAUCAUCCUCAUGCAUCUCCACUUCUUCAUGGAGCACAAGUCCCAAACCUUGUUGUUCCUAUCUCAUUGACAAGCACGGCAUUCGUGUAUCUGUCAUAUCCUUGCCUGGAUCUGAAUGGAAUAAACACGCUUCAAGGACACUGAACAUAAAUGCUUUGUUUUAUUCGUCCGCCAUUCCUUUGCAUCCCA